GCAGCUGAUGUUUACAUCGCCUAGUCAAGCCAACCGGCUCGCUCUUGUUUCAGCAAACCCUGACUUACGUCUCCUAUUUGACUUGAGGCGGCACAGUGGCCAAGUCGAUUGGCCGUGGCAAGUGACCCUCCCUGUGGCUGAAGUGUUCUGAGGACUGGCGAGAGAGGCGCGCCAUGCUUGCCCCCUGUUCAGGUUGGGAGCUUGGCUGCUUCCGUCUCUGUCUCCGUCAGGUCCGACUGUGGGCUGGCGCUGGGCGCUGGUCUUGCUGGGCUUGCCAAGCCAGGCCGUACAGCUCAGGUAGGGGCGAGCGCUGGCCCGGAUCGGAGACUGAGGUCCCUCCGCCUGGCCCGGCGCGCCGAACUCUGAAGGAGUGGACACUGCAGGUGAGCCCGUUCGGUCGGCUGCGGGCGCGGCUCCCGUGCCACCUGGCCGUGAGGCCCCUGGACCCCCUCACCUACCCGGAUGGCGACCGCGUGCUGGUCGCGGUGUGCGGCGUGGAGGGCGGCGUGCGGGGCCUGGACGGCCUGCAGGUGAAGUACGACGAGGAUCUGGAGGAGAUGGCCAUUGUGUCUGAUACUAUCCACCCCCAGGCGUCCGUGGAGGUGAACGCGCCCCUGAAGUUUGGUUUAGAUAUCAAGUCAUCAGGGUCUGGCUGUGUAGAAGUUCAAAGUAUUGAGGGUGAUAAUUGCAAAAUUGAAACAGAGCAUGGGACUAGCAUCUUGCAGUCUGUUAAGGGUCAAAAAUUGCAUGUUCAAACAAAAGGAGGCAAAGUGAUCUGUCUGGGAACAGUUUAUGGAAAUAUAGAUAUUCAUGCAUCAGAUAAAAGUGCUGUGACCAUAGAUAAACUGCAGGGAAGUUCUGUUACUGUAUCUACCGAAGAUGGGUUGCUGAAAGCCAAGUAUCUUUAUACAGAAUCAUCAUUUCUGUCUUCUGCUGCUGGGGAUAUUACAUUAGGAAGUGUUCAUGGUAAUAUAACAUUACAAAGCGAGAUGGGUAACAUCACAGUAGAUUCGUCUUCUGGAUGUCUAAAAGCCUCAACUAAUCAGGGUGCCAUAGAUGUUUAUGUCAGCCAACUGGGGAAAGUGGAAUUGAAAUCCCAUAAAGGUUCUAUUAUUGUCAAGGUCCCAUCUUCACUUCAAGCUCAUUUACAGUUAUCAGGGAAAGAGGUUGAUGUGAACUCAGAAGUCCAUGUUCAGGAAAUGGCUGAAGCUCGUAAAGAUGAUGUUGUAACAGUGACUGGUAAGGAGGCUGCAUUUUGCUCUGUCAGAUGAAUAGCCAUUCUCCAUACAUAAGUAGAAAUGUGGUACACUUAACGGAAAUUUUAGCUUUUUUAUAUUUUUCCAUUAUUAUGUCCUCAUGUUUGACAUCUUUUUUUCUUCUAGUUGCUUAUCAUUAAUAUGAUGCAGACAUUUUGUUUAAAAAGACCUCAUUAAAUCAUUUAGGAAGACUCAUUAGUCCUGUCAUUGGGUAAAAUUGAUUUUUAAAUUUUCUAGAAGAGCUGUUUUCUAAUUCUCGAACUUAAACUGAAUACAUAUAUUAUAGUGCAAAAUUUAAAACUAACUUCGUGUGACUGGAGUAAAUCGGAAUUUUGUUUGGUAUGUACAUUUUAAACUUGCUCUUUCAGAACAACAAAUUCUCAGUAGCACAAAUGUGAAUCGUUUUUGUACAUUUUUCAUUAUAUCUGGCUACAGUGGUGGCUGAUACUAUUUUUUUAAGGUUUGUCAUUGGUUGGUUUUUUUGUUGUUUGAGACAGAGUCUUACUCUAUUGCCCAUACUGGAGUGCAGUGGCGUGACCUUGGCUCACUGCAACCUCCGCCUCCCGGGUUCAAACGAUUCUGUUGCCUCACCCUCCUGAGUAGCUGGGACUACAGGCAUGCACCACCAUGCCUGGCUAAUUUUUUUUGUAUUUUUAAUAGAGACAGGGUUUUACCAUGUUGGCCAGGCUACUCUCAAAUUCCUGACCUCAGGUGAUCAGCCCACCUCAGCCUCCCAAAGUGCUGGGAUUAUAGGCAUGAGCCACUGCACCUGGCCAAGGUUUGUUGUUUUAAUGAAUAAAAAAAUUAAUGCUGGUGAAGUUUUCCUUUAAAUUUUACCAGAAUGGCAUCAAGGAGGACAUUGCAAUUAGACCGUGUAUAGGGAUGAAUGCUACAAGCUAAAUCCAUGAGAUGCCAACUAGAAAAAGGAAGAAUUGGGGAGUAGGGGAGGGUGGUCUUCAUAAGAUCAAAUUUCAGUUUUAGGUAUUCAUUUUAUAUGUCGUGAAAAUUAAGAAAGUUGUCUGUUAAAAUUCAUAGAAUAUUAACAAAAAACAUAACAGGAAUAAAAAUAAUACCUAUACACUCCCAGAUAUAACUGCAUGCCACUUAAUGGGCAAACCCAUAGUUAAGUGGCAAAAAUUUGAUGAAAAUCUAAGUACAGUCAUGCAUCACUUAAUGACAGAGAUACAUUCUGAGAAAUGUGUUAUUAGGCAAUUUUGUUGUCAUGUGAACAUUAUAGAGUGAACUUAUACAAACCUAGAUGGUACAGCCUACUAUACACUGAGGCUGUGUAGUAGCCUAUUAUUCCUAGGCUACACCCUGUACAGCAGGCUACUGUACUGAAAACUGUAGGGAAUUGUAACACAAUGGUAUUUGUAUAUCUAUAUAUAGAAAAGGUACAGUAAAAAUCUGGUAUAAAAGAUAAAACAUGGUACGCCUGUAUAGGGCACUUACCAUAAGUGGAGCUUGUAGGACUGGAAGUUGCUCUGAGUGAGUCAGUAUGAUGAGUGGUGAGUGCAUGUGAAGGCCUAGGACAUUACUACUAUAGACUUUAUAAACACUGUACAGUUAGGCUACACUAAAUUUAUUUUUAAGUUUCUUCAAUAAUAAAUUAGCCUUAGUUUACUGUAACUUUUUUACUUUAUUUAUUCUAGAGAUAGCUGCUUUCUCUGUUGCAUAGACUGGAGUGCAAUUAUAGCUCACUAUAAACUCAAACUCUGGGCUCAAGUGAUCCUUCUGCCUCAGCCUCCCUAGUAGCUAGGUUGCAGGUGUGCACUACCAUGCCCAGCUAAUUUUUAAAAAGUUUUUAGCAGAGACAAGGCCUUGCUAUGUUUCCCAGGCUUGUCUUCAGCUCCUGGCCUUAAGUGAUCCUCCCACCUCAACUUCCCAAAGAACAUUUUUACUUUAUAAACUUACAUUUUAAAAAAUUUUUUGAGGCUGGGCACGGUGGCUUACGCCUGUAAUCCCAGCACUUUGGGAGGCCGAGGUGGGCAGAUCGUUUGAGGUCAGGAGUUCCAGACCAGCGUGACCAACAUGGUGAAACCCCCAUUUCUACUAAAAUACAAAAAUUAGCCGGGCGUGGUGGCGGGCGCCUGUAAUCUCAGCUACUCAGGAGGCUGAGGAAAAAGAAUCCCUUGAAACCAGGAGGCAGAGGGUGCAAUGAGCCAAUAUCGCGCCACUGCCCUCCAGUCUGAGCAAGAGCGAGACUCCCUCUCAG